rnacentral:lncRNA from 1 species
GAGAUAUAAUUUGGUAUCUGAAAAACUUGAACACUAGGUGAUUUCAAAGUGACAUCUCCUUGCCUGCAGGCAGCUCUCCUGGCAGCUCUCCUCUAGGUGGUCAUCUCCACUCCUGCACUAUGCCCUGCUGCUGCCCAGUGCCCGAAAUGUCCUUGAGCUUUAGCUCUAGUAAUGCUGAGGCUAUGGAGAGGCAACACCAAAUGUGCAGAAGCUUAACACCUGACCAAUGUGCAACAUUUGGAUCUGAUAAACACACUCCAGUCAGCACUAAUAACAUCACACACAGCAACCACCAGUAGGGAUCUUGGGCAGGUUCUGAUGGAAGACAUGUAGUUCCAGGGAAAUAGCAUAGUGCAAGUCCUGCUCCUUUUUGUCAUCUUCAGUCCUGAUACUGGCUGCACUGGAGACAGUCCCAAUAGGGGAUGAUCAACUGAGACCUUACCAAUCUUCUUCCUGGCUGAGUACUGAGGAGAUUUCUUUUUCCUGUUCCUUUCCUUUCUCUCUUCUGUUUUUUUUCUUUUUUCAUUUUUUUUCCCAAGACUCAAAUUGUACCUUUAAAAUCAACAUAUUCCAUCAGCUUCUGAUGUUGCUAAUCAAUCAGUGUGCAGAUGGACCAGCCUCAGCAUCCUCUGUGCAGCUGUUUCUCCCGCUGUCUUUGAUGGCAAACAUAAGUGAAUGCCAAGAGAAGAGUGUUACAACAGGCUGUAAAGCCCCGAUCAUGUAAGGUUAGAGGUUCAUGGCUCAUGGAAGAGAGAGGAGUGGAAGACCUCUGCGCAAGUCACACCAUUGAUGGGCACAUUUCUGAAAGGCUGGGAAAUUCUACAAACAGAAAAAUGUUCAGUCUAUCCCAGCACAAUGCAGGACCAUAAAAACCAGCAUGAUGAAUGUCAAACCACUAUGCACAGCACAGUGAGUAGCUGUACAUGAGCUUUCAAGGGAGUGCACAUGGUCGGAUUUAAAUGUCCAUCAUCUGCUUUCCCAACUUAUUGAGGAACUCAAUUUAAUUUCCAAGAAAGAGGAACAAGGUAAUAGAAAUUGUACUUGAUUAGCAAAGACCUCAAUAAACAUCCUCUUCUGGCUAAAUAUUCA